rnacentral:tRNA from 1 species
GAGAAUAUAGCUCAGUGGUGGAGCAUGUGCUUAGCAUGCAUGAGGUCCUGGGUUCAAUCCCCAGUACUUCCA